rnacentral:rRNA from 1 species
CUUGCUCCCGGAUGUUAGCGGCGGACGCGGUGAGUAACACGUGGGUAACCUGCCUGUAAGACUGGGAUAACUCCGGGAAACCGGAGCUAAUACCGGAUAGUUCCUUGAACCGCAUGGUUCAAGGAUGAAAGACGGAUUUCGUGCUGUCACUUACAGAUGGCACCCGCGGCGCAUUAGCUAGUUGGUGAGGUAACGGCUCACCAAGGCGACGAUGCGUAGCCGACCUGAGAGGGUGAUCGGCCACACUGGGACUGAGACACGGCCCAGACUCCUACGGGAGGCAGCAGUAGGGAAUCUUCCGCAAUGGACGAAAGUCUGACGGAGCAACGCCGCGUGAGUGAUGAAGGUUUUCGGAUCGUAAAGCUCUGUUGUUAGGGAAGAACAAGUGCAAGAGUAACUGCUUGCACCUUGACGGUACCUAACCAGAAAAGCCACGGCUAACUACGUGCCAGCACCCGCGGUAAUACGUAGGUGGCAAGCGUUGUCCGGAAUUAUUGGGCGUAAAGGGCUCGCAGGCGGUUUCUUAAGUCUGAUGUGAAAGCCCCCGGCUCAACCGGGGAGGGUCAUUGGGAAACUGGGGAAACUUGAGUGCAGAAGAGGAGAGUGGAAUUCCACGUGUAGCGGUGAAAUGCGUAGAGAUGUGGAGGAACACCAGUGGCGAAAGCGACUCUCUGGUCUGUAACUGACGCUGAGGAGCGAAAGCGGUGGGGAGCGAACAGGAUUAGAUACCCUGGUA